UGUGGGUGAAAUUUCCGAGGCUCAACCUCGGAACUGCCUGCAAAACUGGGAGCCUUGAGGUAUGGAGAGGGAAGUGGAAUUCCUGGUGUAGCGGUGAAAUGCGUAGAUAUCAGGAGGAACACCCGUGGCGAAGGCGGCUUCCUGGCCAUAUCCUGACGCUGAGGUGCGAAAGCCAGGGUAGCGAACGGGAUUAGAUACCCCGGUAGUCCUGGCCAUAAACGAUGGAUACUAGGUGUUAGAGGUAUCGACCCCUCUAGUGCCGCAGCUAACGCAUUAAGUAUCCCGCCUGGGGAGUACGACCGCAAGGUUGAAACUCAAAGGAAUUGACGGGGGCCCGCACAAGCGGUGGAGCAUGUGGUUUAAUACGUCACUAACCGUAGAACCUUACCCAGGCUUGACAUCUAGGGAAUCCUGAUGAAAGUCGGGAGUGCCUUUGGGAGCCCUAAGACAGGUGUUGCAUGGCUGUCGUCAGCUCGUGUCGUGAGAUGUUGGGUUAAGUCCCGCAACGAGCGCAACCCUCAUCCGAUGUUGCCAGCGUAGAGUCGGGAACUCUUCGGAAACUGCCCGUGUAAGCGGGAGGAAGGUGGGGAUGACGUCAAGUCAGCAUGGCCCUUACGCCUGGGGCUACACACAUGCUACAAUGGACGCUAACAAAGGGCAGCAAUACCGCGAGGUGGAGCGAAUCUCAUAAAUGCGUCCUCAGUUCGGAUUGUAGUCUGCAACUCGACUACAUGAAGUCGGAAUCGCUAG
rnacentral:rRNA from 1 species